rnacentral:rRNA from 1 species
GGGUCAGUAGGUUGGUCGUGCCACCGGUACGUACUGGUCUCACUGAUUCCCCCUUCCUGAAGAACCGUAAUGCCGUUAAAUUGGUGUUGCGGGGAAACAGGACUGUUACUUUGAAAAAAUUAGAGUGUUUAAAGCAAGCUAACGCUUGAAUACAUUAGCAUGGAAUAAUGAAAUAGGACGAUCGAUCCUAUUUUGUUGGUUUCUAGGAUUGACGUA